GCACAUUGAAAGAGAGAGAAUCUUAAAUGGCCUGAAACUCAGACUGAAGAAAUCUAAGAUUGAGGCAGUGCCAUCCAGCAAACCUGAUGCAGUGGAAAAAGUACAAAUAAGAUCAGGAACCCUGCUCUUUUGCCUCUUGAGGAGAACAGUGUUCUGAGGUUCAGUGUGCUGCCAGAGUCGUUCAACUUCAAUGAUGGGCAAGAACCCAUGGACACUCGGACACAGAUGGGUUCAAUGAAGGAAAUGGCUGGUCCUGUUGCUGCAACGACUGAGAGUCCUAAAACAAUAGUCCAGAAAUCCCAAGUAGGUUCAUGGUCUGCUGGCCCUCAGAAGAGAUAUUGUCCUCUCACCUCUUCGACCACUAAAGUCCCCAAGUCUUCCUCCACCGCCUUCCAGGAGUUUCAGAGGAAAUUCCAGCAGCUAUCCCAAGACUAGUUUGUAUUCCCUCCUGUUAUGAAAUGGAGGAGUGGAGUGAGGAUUGUUGACAAUCUGAUUCUUGUAACACGUUUCCCAUGGAAAUAUAGGCUGUGUACAAUUUCUGUUUUUUGUUUAUGAUUACCUUUUUUAUAACAAAAAAUGCAGAAAUGCAGAAAUUGACCUUAUUGUGGUAAGGUUGGGCAGUUCAUAAUACAGUUAUUUAUCGUAGUUAUCAUUUUAUAUUCUUAAAUGACUUAGCCAAUAUAUCUGACAGUAUCCUCUACCUCAGGCCUGACGGGUAACAUUGCGAGACUUUGUCAUUAAAAAACAUGAACUAAAGUUUUGUGGGCCAUUGGGUGGCAAUUUAUUUUAUUUUAUUUUUUAAGUUUGGGGUAAACUGUAUUUUAUGCAAACCUCAUGUUUACUGUUUGAAUGUUUCACAGAAUGUGAACUAUGACAAAUUCACUGCAGUUUGUUUGAAUUUGUAGGCUACAUAAUUUCAUCUCUUGACUCUUACUUUCUACAAUCUCAUACCUUUUCAAUGGUUACAUUAUCAAUAGUUAUUUUGCUGGAGUUUAAAUCGAUUCCUUUUGUUGCCACAGGAUGAGCAGUACUGUACAGUUCAAGAUACU